CAGCCGCCGCGGUAAAACCAGCACCUCAAGUGGUCAGGAUGAUUAUUGGGCCUAAAGCAUCCGUAGCUCGUUUUGUAAGUUUUCGGUUAAAUCCAUGCGCUUAACGUAUGGGCUGCCGGGAAUACUGCAUAACUAGGAAGUGGGAGAGGUAGACGGUACUCGGUAGGAAGGGGUAAAAUCCUUUGAUCUAUUGAUGACCACCUGUGGCGAAGGCGGUCUACCAGAACACGUUCGACGGUGAGGGAUGAAAGCUGGGGGAGCAAACCGGAUUAAAUACCCGGGUAGUCCCAGCUGUAAACUAUGCAAACUCAGUGAUGCAUUGGCUUAUGGCCAAUGCAGUGCUGCAGGGAAGCCGUUAAGUUUGCCGCCUGGGAAGUACGUACGCAAGUAUGAAACUUAAAGGAAUUGGCGGGGGAGCACAA
rnacentral:rRNA from 1 species